UACGUAGGGUGCGAGCGUUAAUCGGAAUUACUGGGCGUAAAGCGUGCGCAGGCGGUUUUGUAAGCCAGAUGUGAAAGCCCCGGGCUUAACCUGGGAAUGGCAUUUGGGACUGCAAGGCUGGAGUGUGGCAGAGGAGACUGGAAUUCCUGGUGUAGCAGUGAAAUGCGUAGAUAUCAGGAGGAAUACCGAUGGCGAAGGCAGGUCUCUGGGCUGACACUGACGCUCAUGCACGAAAGCGUGGGGAGCAAACGAGG
rnacentral:rRNA from 1 species